rnacentral:lncRNA from 1 species
CAGUUUAGAUCCAAUUACAGGAGACAGAUUUUAAAUGUUCUAUCUAGCUAACUAAGUAUAGUUUCCUGAUAUCUGCAUCACAAAAGAGCUAAAGAUAAUCCCUGGGGCUAUACACCGGAGUUGACAAGCUCCUCCCUCUACAGGAAGGAAAUGUAGCACAACUAAAAGGGCAGAAAACAAAGCCGAAGAAAGAAAUGCCCAGUAGAGAGCAGAACUGGAAUACCAUGAGAGAAUGCUGGUAGACCUGCAGCAUGAGAGCUACACUAACAAUGAAGGUGCUGGAAGUCAGAUGCUUGUUAGGUUCCUGCAUUUCCAGAAUGUCACGAGACCAUAAGAGGACCAUAUCAGAGAGAGCCAGGAUGGCUACAGCUGGAAAAAGUGGGCUUUCUACAGAAGGAGCAGUCCUAGACUCCUUCAGGGAAGUCAGAGACCUCUCUCUAUGCAGCUUAUUCUCAACACGUUCUACCCUCCCUUAGCAGCCAGGAAAAGAAAUGAGCUGAGAUGGGAAGAGGCCUUCAGCAACUGUUCUUCUAUGGGAAUACAAAUAAAAUAUA